rnacentral:tRNA from 1 species
CAGAAAAUAGUUUAAUUAAAAUUUUAGUUUUGGGAACUGAAGAUGGGAGUUCACUUUCUUUUCUGA